CGACUGCCUGGCGCAGGCGGCGCUCAGGCCCCCUGCGCCUGCGGCCUGAGGCCGGCUUUACAGGCGGUCGCAACGCACCGUGGUCGG
rnacentral:tRNA from 1 species